rnacentral:lncRNA from 1 species
GUUUUUAUUGAUUGCACUUAUAAUUUUGCAAGUUUAUUUUUAUCGUUAAUUUUCAAUAUAAUUAUGUUGAAAUAGAGCUACAUUUUCGUCUGCUAAGAUUAGUUAAAGAUAACAGUAUUUUCCAAAGAAUUUAUUACUGUGUAGAAAGUUAAUGGUUAAUCUUAACGGUAUUCCUAAAUUUUAUGACACCUUCAGUAGGUCAGUCUAGUCAUUUAGAGUUCAAGUAAAAAUCGUCUGCACGUGCAGCUGUG